UAGUCGUGCGCUUCCUAGCCACGAAGGGAGCGCGGCGCACNNCUCAGUAGCACGUGGCUAACCUGCCCUUGGGACGGGAACAACCCCGGGAAACUGGGGCUAAUUCCUGAUAGGUGAAGAACUCUGGAAUGAGUCUUUGCCGAAAGGGCGUUUACAUCAUGCUCGUAGGCGCUGCCCAAGGAUGGGGCCGCGGCCGAUCAGGUUGUUGGUGAGGUAACGGCUCACCAAGCCUAUAACCGGUGCGGGCCGUGAGAGCGGGAGCCCGGAGAUGGGCACUGAGACAAGGGCCCAGGCCCUAUGGGGCGCAGCAGGCGCGAAACCUCCGCAAUGGGCGAAAGCCCGACGGGGUUAGUCCGAGUGACUCUUGCUGAAGGAGUCUUUUGCCAGCUGUAAAAAAGCUGGAGAAUAAGGGGUGGGCAAGUUUGGUGUCAGCCGCCGCGGUAAUACCAGCUCUCCGAGUGGUGGGGACGUUUAUUGGGCCUAAAGCAUCCGUAGCUGGCCGUUCAAGUCCCCUGUUAAACCCAGCGAUUUAAUCGUUGGUCUGCGGGGGAUACUGUUCGGCUAGGGGGCGGGAGAGGCAGACGGUAUUUCCGGGGUAGGGNUNNNNUCCUAUAAUCCCGGG
rnacentral:rRNA from 1 species